rnacentral:rRNA from 1 species
UACGGGGGGGGCAAGCGUUGUUCGGAAUUACUGGGCGUAAAGGGCCAGUAGGCGGCCAACUAAGUCGGAUGUAAAAUCCCCAGGCUCAACUUGGGAACUGCAUCCGAUACUGGAUGGCUUGAAUUCGGGAGAGGGAUGCAGAAUUCCAGGUGUAGCGGUGAAAUGCGUAGAUAUCUGGAGGAAUACCGGUGGCGAAGGCGGCAUCCUGGACCGACAUUGACGCUGAACGGCGAAAGCUAGGGGAGCAAACGGG